AUCUUUCUAGUACUAAUGUUUAGUAUAAGUGACUUCCAAUCACCAGGUCUUGGUUAAAAUCCAAGGAAAGAUA
rnacentral:tRNA from 1 species